CCUACGGGUGGCAGCAGUGGGGAAUAUUGCGCAAUGGGCGAAAGCCUGACGCAGCGACGCCGCGUGAGGGAUGAAGGUCUUCGGAUCGUAAACCUCUGUCAGCAGGGAAGAACGGUCACUGUGCUAAUCAGCAGUGAAUUGACGGUACCUGCAAAGGAAGCACCGGCUAACUCCGUGCCAGCAGCCGCGGUAAUACGGAGGGUGCGAGCGUUAAUCGUAAUUACUGGGCGUAAGGCGCUCGUAGGCGGUAUGUCAAGUCAAGGGUGAAAUCCCCGCGCUCAACGUGGGAACUGCCUUUGAUACUGGCAAGCUGGAGUGUGUAUGAGGAUAGUGGAAUUCCAGGUGUAGGAGUGAAAUCCGUAGAUAUCUGGAGGAACAUCAGUUGCGAAGGCGACUAUCUGGCACAUAACUGACGCUGAGGAGCGAAAGCGUGGGUAGCAAACAGGAUUAGAUACCCGAGUAGUC
rnacentral:rRNA from 1 species